rnacentral:rRNA from 1 species
AGAGUUUGAUCCUGGCUCAGGAUGAACGCUGGCGGCGUGCCUAACACAUGCAAGUCGAACGAAGCUUGACGGAUGAUUUCUUCGGAAUGAAACCUGAUAUGACUUAGUGGCGGACGGGUGAGUAACACGUGAGCAACCUGCCUUUCAGAGGGGGAUAACGGCUGGAAACGGUCGCUAAUACCGCAUGACGUGUUCGGAUGGCAUCAUCUGAACAUCAAAGAUUUAUCGCUGAAAGAUGGGCUCGCGUCUGAUUAGAUAGUUGGUGGGGUAACGGCCUACCAAGUCGACGAUCAGUAGCCGGACUGAGAGGUUGAACGGCCACAUUGGGACUGAGAUACGGCCCAGACUCCUACGGGAGGCAGCAGUGGGGAAUAUUGCACAAUGGGGGAAACCCUGAUGCAGCAACGCCGCGUGAAGGAUGACGGUUUUCGGAUUGUAAACUUCUUUUCUUAGUGACGAAGACAGUGACGGUAGCUAAGGAAUAAGCAUCGGCUAACUACGUGCCAGCAGCCGCGGUAAUACGUAGGAUGCAAGCGUUAUCCGGAUUUACUGGGUGUAAAGGGAGCGCAGGCGGGACUGCAAGUUGGAUGUGAAAUACCGUGGCUUAACCACGGAACUGCAUCCAAAACUGUAGUUCUUGAGUGAAGUAGAGGCAAGCGGAAUUCCGAGUGUAGCGGUGAAAUGCGUAGAUAUUCGGAGGAACACCAGUGGCGAAGGCGGCUUGCUGGGCUUUAACUGACGCUGAGGCUCGAAAGUGUGGGGAGCAAACAGGAUUAGAUACCCUGGUAGUCCACACUGUAAACGAUGAUAGCUAGGUGUGGGGGGUCUGACCCCUUCCGUGCCGGAGUUAACGCAAUAAGCUAUCCACCUGGGGAGUACGACCGCAAGGUUGAAACUCAAAGGAAUUGACGGGGGCCC